rnacentral:rRNA from 1 species
UACGUAGGGUGCGAGCGUUAAUCGGAAUUACUGGGCGUAAAGCGUGCGCAGGCGGUUUUGUAAGCCAGAUGUGAAAUCCCCGGGCUUAACCUGGGAAUGGCAUUUGGGACUGCAAGGCUGGAGUUUGGCAGAGGAGACUGGAAUUCCCGGUGUAGCAGUGAAAUGCGUAGAUAUCGGAAGGAAUACCGAUGGCGAAGGCAGGUCUCUGGGCUAUAACUGACGCUCAUGCACGAAAGCGUGGGGAGCAAACAGG